CGGGAACUGGAGCGCGAGGAGGAACUGCUUCCAGAAUGCCUGGACCUGUACCUGAUUAAACAUCAUCAGCAAAACGCAAACUUAAACACUAGCAACAGCUUCCAUUACCUUUUUUUGGGCGGUGAACGAGACCUGGAAGGAGAUGACGAUGACGAUGAAGAACAAGAAGAGCACGAUGACCUUGACCUGGAGCGCCGAUAUCCUCCAUCAUAACCCCGCCUCUUCCUCCUCCCACGGUCCAAUGGGCUCGGAGAGGGGGCGGAGAAGCGCAAGCCCUCCGCCUCCUCAAGCGUGUCUGUCCUGCAGGGCGAGCUGUCAGGUGACAACAACACCCUGUAAUCGCAAGGGCUCGAAACCGAGUUGAACGGCGUCUUGCUUCCCAGAAUCCCACAGUAAUCGUGAUCCAGGAAAAGUUGAGCGGGAUUCGACGCAGGAGUGAAGGUGGGAAGUUUUGAAUGAGUUUUGCUGGGCGGCAAAGGGCGGGGUUCAAUAAUCUGAAUGGUUUUGCUGGACUUUGUGGCUUUGACCGGCACCAGGGGCUUCCAGGUCUGAUGUGGAGGAGUGGCGGGCGGAGUUAGUCCUGGAGAGAAACAAAUAAUCAUGAAACUACAGUCAAAACACCCACUGCUCUCAUUGGACAACUCCCUCAUUAGCAUAUUCAUGAUGUCUCAUCUAUACGAUGUCUCUUUAUAACUUUAUGUAGCCGUUAUGUCAGACACAAGUUGCACUUUACUGUGUUUUGAACAAAUCGGCAGAUGCCGAUAUGGUGGCCGAUAUAUCGUGCGUCCCUAAUAUAUGAAUGAACAAAAUAAAAAUUAUGAAAUAUGCUGGUGGUCAGAUCACUAACUCUGAUGUGACCUCUGACCUGCAGUGCUACUGAGAUCCAUCGCCUGGCCAUCCUGAUGCUCAUCCCGGGAAACGUCUGGAAGAUUCGGCCCUUCAGAAGCUGCAGAGAAACAACAGUUUGACUCACAUUUACGCUGUGUGAUGUUGUGAAUCGGGGCCAGUGUGUGUGUCUUGUGAAGCAGAAGGAAGCGCCAUGAAAAAUUUGGCAGGAAACCCAGAGACCCUCUCAAAUGAAAUGUAGAAUCAUCACCUGAUCCCAGAACAGCCUGAGAACACGAGUGUCAGAAGGAAGCAGCGGAUGAAGAGUUUCUCUCUGUUAGAAGAGCCUGAACUGCAGAAAUACUGAGAGCCGGACACGAGGAGCU